rnacentral:rRNA from 1 species
GGGGCAUCAGGAAGAAAGCUUGCUUUCUUUGCUGGCGACCGUCGCACGGGUGAGUAACACGUAUCCAACCUGCCCUUUACUCGGGGAUAGCCUUUCGAAAGAAAGAUUAAUACCCGAUGGCAUAAUGAUUCCGCAUGGUUUCAUUAUUAAAGGAUUCCGGUAAAGGAUGGGGAUGCGUUCCAUUAGGUUGUUGGUGAGGUAACGGCUCACCAAGCCUUCGAUGGAUAGGGGUUCUGAGAGGAAGGUCCCCCACAUUGGAACUGAGACACGGUCCAAACUCCUACGGGAGGCAGCAGUGAGGAAUAUUGGUCAAUGGGCGCUAGCCUGAACCAGCCAAGUAGCGUGAAGGAUGAAGGCUCUAUGGGUCGUAAACUUCUUUUAUAUAAGAAUAAAGUGCAGUAUGUAUACUGUUUUGUAUGUAUUAUAUGAAUAAGGAUCGGCUAACUCCGUGCCAGCAGCCGCGGUAAUACGGAGGAUCCGAGCGUUAUCCGGAUUUAUUGGGUUUAAAGGGAGCG